GCUGUCCACAGUUUUGGAGGCUAGAAACAUUCGAUUUUAUAGCCGUUCGAUCUAGCGCCAUGAUUCGUGCGAGAUUUUUUUUCUAUUGGAUCCAAACCUGAUGACCAAUAGAUGUGCUACCCGUUGGCGUGUAUAGCUGCACGUUGCCUUUUUCCAGAAAUUUCUUGGAGGCGAGGUGGCCUAGGCGGAGGCGGAGACCCCGCCAGAUGCAGCUCUCGGCGAUUUUUUUCGCCGCCGGCCGGUGGGUUUCUUGCUGCCCGCUUCCUCACCGAUUUUUCCCCUUCAGCUGCUCGUGUUCCUCGCGGUCGCAGCGAUCUUCUCUGCCUCAUGCUCUCUACUCAAAAUUUCAUGUGAUUUUUCCACUUUUUGGUGCAUUCAUGUGAUGUUUUGUGUUCAGAUCCUGCAUCAUGUUUGCCCUAUAAAUCGUUUGUAUGUUUGGUUGGUGUUCUUCUCCUAGAUUUCUAGGGGAAUCGAUUCGUUGAUUUUCGCACACAUGUAUUGUUGUUCAUCUUGAGGAUGGAGGCGUCAAUGUUUUUCCAUUUAGUUACAUAAAUUCCAUCGUUGAUGUUUUUCCAUUUAGUUACAUAAAAAUGUUUAAUUAUAUUCCAGUUAAAUAGAGCUUAUAAGUUAGUUAUAGUCUAGUUACAGUCCAGUUACAACCUAGUUACACACUAGUUAUAGUCCAGUUACACCCUAGUUACACACUAGUUACAGUCCAGUUAUAACCUAGUUACAGAGUAGUUAUAGCUCAGUUACAGUUACAUUUAGUUACAGUGUGCCUAGUUAUUCAGGGUUUCUUAAUGGGCCCACACGUUCUAAACGGAUUGGUUUCGUGCUUUCAGUUGGUUCAGACCCGUUUCCUGUGGUCCGUUGAUUACAUAUCUUGAGGUGAAAAAAAUUGAAAGUUUUGACCUUAAAAACUGUCGACAGCCCAAUAGCUAAUCCCUUAAUAAUAUAAAAAUAAUAUGUGUAGAAAAAACGAUGUGGGAGUAUAUCCCACCACUCCUAGGUUUUAGGGCAGAUAUGUGGACAAAAAUCUUAAUUUUCAAAAAGAUACCAGCUUUUAAAUUAACAACAGAACACAUUUACCAUGAGGCUGCAAAACCUAACUCCUAACUCAUGAUAACUUCCUCACUUUGGCAAGCCGCAAUCCUACGGUACCACUAACAGAAUGUAGGAAGUAGGGUAUCUUUUCUGAUUUUGAGAGAGUGGAUAUAACAUGCAUCUGCUUUUUACUUGUCCUGUCUUGUCUUUUUUUUUUUUUUAGUUUUGGGUUGUUAUAUGCUGCUUUACCAUUACUUUGCCGUAGUGAAGGAUGACAACACUUUCAUGAUCAAAAGCACAGGGCAUGGUGGAGGUUGAGAGACGGGGAUGUGAUUUUCUUUUAUAAUGGGCAUAUAAAAACUCGAUUUUUGCUUCGUAGUAAGAAGGUACAGAAAAGUCAAAGCUUGGAGGGGAGAACAUUGAGAAGUGAGGGGAUGGAGAACAAAGCAUAGGCAUCUAGGAAGUAAGGGGAAGCUAGACAGAAAGAGGAUACGUUCCCAGAAAGAAACAGAUGAAGAAAAAAGAGGUAGGUCUGAUAGGUGGGCCUCCCUACUUUAUGUGCAAGCCACCACCAUAUAUGAUGGCACAUAAAACCACAAAUUUUGUUUCUACUUAACUGGUGGAACAAUUUAUUCUGUUUCAACAACUUAGGGUGUGGUCUAUAUUAUAUUUGUGGUUUGAGGGAAUAAAUUAGAUGAACAUAAAUAUAGUUUUGGAAGUAAAUCAGACAUUUUCCUAUUUCAAAAAUAAACAAUACAUAUAUACA